UAGGGAAUAUUGGUAAUCUGGGAAACCGGGAACCAGCAACGCCGCGUGCGCGAUGAAGGCCAUCGGGUUGUAAAGCGCUUUUUGAGAGGAUGAGGAAGGACAGUACUCUUAGAAUAAGCCUCGGCUAACUACGUGCCAGCAGCCGCGGUAAAACGUAGGAGGCGAGCGUUAUCCGGAUUUACUGGGCGUAAAGCGUGUGUAGGCGGUUUGAUAAGUUGGAUGUGAAAGCUCCUGGCUUAACUGGGAGAGGUCGUUCAAAACUAUCAGACUUGAGAGUGGUAGAGGGAGGUGGAAUUCCGCAUGUAGUGGUGAAAUGCGGUGAUAUGCGGAGGAACACAAGUGGCGAAAGCGGCCUCCUGGCCCAUGUCUGACGCUCAGACGCGAAAGCUAAGGGAGGGAACG
rnacentral:rRNA from 1 species